rnacentral:rRNA from 1 species
UACAGAGGUCCCGAGCGUUGUUCGGAUUCACUGGGCGUAAAGGGUGCGUAGGUGGUUGGGCAAGUCUGAUGUGAAAUCUCCGGGCUUAACCCGGAAAUGGCAUUGGAAACUGCCUGGCUAGAGUGUUGGAGGGGGGACUGGAAUUCUCGGUGUAGCAGUGAAAUGCGUAGAUAUCAAGUGGAACACCAGUGGCGAAGGCGAGUCCCUGGAAAACUCCUGACACUGAGGCACGAAAGCUAGGGGAGCAAACAGG